rnacentral:lncRNA from 1 species
AUACAGCAAAGGCAGUAUCUCUGAACAUAUCGUUCUGUACAUUUGUUUUAUUUACAUACUCUUCUAGAAAGUGAAUAUAAUGCAACGCCCACCAGGUUACAACCCAGGUUAUCCCGGAGGUAUGCCGAUGCCAAACCAAGGCAUGCCGGGUCAAGCUCCUCCCAAUUACUAUGGCGCUCCAAUGCCCGGAGCACCCAGACCUGGUUAUGGCCCCCCUGGGCAAAUGCAACCUCAGGGCCAACAGCAGAACUGCUUCAUGCCUGCAGCAACCAUCCGCAAACUAAGUAACACCACGCCGCCCCGUUUCGACCAAGGUUUUAAAUGAAAAACUGUUGAAAUAGAAUCUCUUCUACCUCUUUGUAUGUUCUGAUGUGUUAUUUUUCUGGUGUGUUAUUACUUAAAUUAGAGUGUAUAAUAUUUAGUUUAAUUUCUUAGAUUUAAGUUGUUGUUAAUAAAAUUCUGUCAAUAUA